CGUAGGUAACCUGCCUGGUAGCGGGGGGUAACUAUUGGAAACGAUAGCUAAUACCGCAUAAGAGUAGAUGUUGCAUGACAUUUGCUUAAAAGGUGCAAUUGCAUCACUACCAGAUGGACCUGCGUUGUAUUAGCUAGUUGGUGGGGUAACGGCUCACCAAGGCGACGAUACAUAGCCGACCUGAGAGGGUGAUCGGCCACACUGGGACUGAGACACGGCCCAG
rnacentral:rRNA from 1 species